GGUGAGUAACACGUGAGUAACCUGCCUUAGACAUUGGGAUAGCCUCGGGAAACCGGGAUUAAUACCGAAUAAAAUCACAGAUACACAUGUAUCCAUGAUCAAAACUCCGGUGGUCUAAGAUGGACUCGCGUCCCAUUAGCUAGUUGGUGAGGUAACGGCCCACCAAGGCGACGAUGGGUAGCCGGCCUGAGAGGGUGAACGGCCACAUUGGAACUGAGAAACGGUCCAAACUCCUACGGGAGGCAGCAGUGGGGAAUAUUGCACAAUGGAGGGAACUCUGAUGCAGCGACGCCGCGUGAACGAAGAAGGCUUUCGAGUCGUAAAGUUCUUUUAUAUGGGAAGAUAAUGACGGUACCAUAAGAAAAAGACCCGGCUAACUACGUGCCAGCAGCCGCGGUAAUACGUAGGGGGCUAGCGUUGUCCGGAAUCACUGGGCGUAAAGGGUUCGCAGGCGGAAAUGCAAGUCAGAUGUAAAAGGCAGUAGCUUAACUACUGUAAGCAUUUGAAACUGCAUAUCUUGAGAAGAGUAGAGGUAAGUGGAAUUUUUAGUGUAGCGGUGAAAUGCGUAGAUAUUAAAAAGAAUACCGGUGGCGAAGGCGACUUACUGGGCUCAUUCUGACGCUGAGGAACGAAAGCGUGGGUAGCAAACAGGAUUAGAUACCCUGGUAGUCCACGCUGUAAACGAUGAGUGCUAGGUGUCGGCUUAAGUCGGUGCCGCA
rnacentral:rRNA from 1 species